rnacentral:rRNA from 1 species
AUGGGGGGACCAUCCUCCAAGGCUAAAUACUCCUGACUGACCGAUAGUGAACCAGUACCGUGAGGGAAAGGCGAAAAGAACCCCGGCGAGGGGAGUGAAAAAGAACCUGAAACCGUGUACGUACAAGCAGUGGGAGCACAGGUUUACCUGUGUGACUGCGUACCUUUUGUAUAAUGGGUCAGCGACUUAUAUUCUGUAGCAAGGUUAACCGUAUAGGGGAGCCGGAGGGAAACCGAGUCUUAAUUGGGCGUUAAGUUGCAGGGUAUAGACCCGAAACCCGGUGAUCUAGCCAUGGGCAGGUUGAAGGUUGGGUAACACUAACUGGAGGACCGAACCGACUAAUGUUGAAAAAUUAGCGGAUGACCUGUGGCUGGGGGUGAAAGGCCAAUCAAACCGGGAGAUAGCUGGUUCUCCCCGAAAGCUAUUUAGGUAGCGCCUCGUGAAUUCAUCUCCGGGGGUAGAGCACUGUUUCGGCUAGGGGGCCAUCCCGGCUUACCAACCCGAUGCAAACUGCGAAUACCGGAGAAUGUUAUCACGGGAGACACACGGCGGGUGCUAACGUCCGUCGUGAAGAGGGAAACAACCCAGACCGCCAGCUAAGGUCCCAAAGUCAUGGUUAAGUGGGAAACGAUGUGGGAAGGCCCAGACAGCCAGGAUGUUGGCUUAGAAGCAGCCAUCAUUUAAAGAAAGCGUAAUAGCUCACUGGUCGAGUCGGCCUGCGCGGAAGAUGUAACGGGGCUAAACCAUGCACCGAAGCUGCGGCAGCGACACUGUGUGUGUUGUUGGGUAGGGGAGCGUUCUGUAAGCCUGCGAAGGUGGCCUGUGAGGGUUGCUGGAGGUAUCAGAAGUGCGAAUGCUGACAUAAGUAACGAUAAAGCGGGUGAAAAGCCCGCUCGCCGGAAGACCAAGGGUUCCUGUCCAACGUUAAUCGGGGCAGGGUGAGUCGACCCCUAAGGCGAGGCCGAAAGGCGUAGUCGAUGGGAAACGGGUUAAUAUUCCCGUACUUGGUGUUACUGCGAAGGGGGGACGGAGAAGGCUAUGUUGGCCGGGCGACGGUUGUCCCGGUUUAAGCGUGUAGGCUGGUUUUCCAGGCAAAUCCGGAAAAUCAAGGCUGAGGCGUGACGACGAGGCACUACGGUGCUGAAGCAACAAAUGCCCUGCUUCCAGGAAAAGCCUCUAAGCAUCAGGUAACACGAAAUCGUACCCCAAACCGACACAGGUGGUCAGGUAGAGAAUACCAAGGCGCUUGAGAGAACUCGGGUGAAGGAACUAGGCAAAAUGGUGCCGUAACUUCGGGAGAAGGCACGCUGACACGUAGGUGAAGUGAUUUACUCAUGGAGCUGAAGUCAGUCGAAGAUACCAGCUGGCUGCAACUGUUUAUUAAAAACACAGCACUGUGCAAACACGAAAGUGGACGUAUACGGUGUGACGCCUGCCCGGUGCCGGAAGGUUAAUUGAUGGGGUCAGCGCAAGCGAAGCUCCUGAUCGAAGCCCCGGUAAACGGCGGCCGUAACUAUAACGGUCCUAAGGUAGCGAAAUUCCUUGUCGGGUAAGUUCCGACCUGCACGAAUGGCGUAAUGAUGGCCAGGCUGUCUCCACCCGAGACUCAGUGAAAUUGAACUCGCUGUGAAGAUGCAGUGUACCCGCGGCAAGACGGAAAGACCCCGUGAACCUUUACUAUAGCUUGACACUGAACAUUGAGCCUUGAUGUGUAGGAUAGGUGGGAGGCUUUGAAGUGUGGACGCCAGUCUGCAUGGAGCCAACCUUGAAAUACCACCCUUUAAUGUUUGAUGUUCUAACGUGGACCCGUAAUCCGGGUUGCGGACAGUGUCUGGUGGGUAGUUUGACUGGGGCGGUCUCCUCCUAAAGAGUAACGGAGGAGCACGAAGGUUGGCUAAUCCUGGUCGGACAUCAGGAGGUUAGUGCAAUGGCAUAAGCCAGCUUGACUGCGAGCGUGACGGCGCGAGCAGGUGCGAAAGCAGGUCAUAGUGAUCCGGUGGUUCUGAAUGGAAGGGCCAUCGCUCAACGGAUAAAAGGUACUCCGGGGAUAACAGGCUGAUACCGCCCAAGAGUUCAUAUCGACGGCGGUGUUUGGCACCUCGAUGUCGGCUCAUCACAUCCUGGGGCUGAAGUAGGUCCCAAGGGUAUGGCUGUUCGCCAUUUAAAGUGGUACGCGAGCUGGGUUUAGAACGUCGUGAGACAGUUCGGUCCCUAUCUGCCGUGGGCGCUGGAGAACUGAGGGGGGCUGCUCCUAGUACGAGAGGACCGGAGUGGACGCAUCACUGGUGUUCGGGUUGUCAUGCCAAUGGCACUGCCCGGUAGCUAAAUGCGGAAGAGAUAAGUGCUGAAAGCAUCUAAGCACGAAACUUGCCCCGAGAUGAGUUCUCCCUGAGACUUAAAGUCUCCUGAAGGAACGUUGAAGACGACGACGUUGAUAGGCCGGGUGUGUAAGCGCAGCGAUGCGUUGAGCUAACCGGUACUAAUGAACCGUGAGG